AUGAACUAACACUAUCAAUAGAUAGAUAGAUAGAUACUUUACCUCUCUGCUCUGCAACACAGUGAGAUGAGAUGUUUACUGCAGCUGUAGCUGCUUCUCUGUCCUGCCAGAAUGUUGUGGAGAGGAGGGUUGGUAUUGUCCAAGAUGGCCUCCAUCUCCUGCCAAGCACAGACCCAGCCUUUUUGACCAGCGUGUCCAGUCUGUUUGUGUUCAUGUCAGACAUGCUGCUGCCCCAGAAGACUGCAGCAUAAAAAUAUAGUGUGUUUGUGAAGCCACAGUGACGAUGUCAUGACCAAGACCUCCAUCUAAUGUAUUUUAUAGAUAUCUACUGAAAUGAGCAUGCUAACCAACUAGCUGCAUCCCGCACUGUGUUGUAAUACCACUUUAUGACACUAUAUGCUGUGUGAGUCAGUGUAGCAUCUAGUCUGCCCUCAGUCCCACGAAGAAGAACAGCUUCUUCCACGACUUGAAGUUACGCUACAGCUUCCAACUAAAAAAAAAAAAAGCUCCCGACUAGCAUCACAGAAACACAGAAAUGGCUGAAGCGCAUAGAAAGUGAUCUUUAUCUCCAUCUCCAAGAACCGCUCCGACAAGAAACCACGUUCAACGGCAAAGAAAAGAAGAAACAUGAGUAAAUCCUGGUGUGGCUUCCCACCACUGGAAACAGCUCUGGGUAAAGAGAUGCGGUUUGAUGCUGAGCUGCAACUUUUCUGUUAAACAGGACCAGAAGUCCAGUCCAGUCCUCCCAGGGACUGACCAGCACCUGCCUUUUCUUCUGCGUCUGGACUCAUCAACCAUCAACAACCACAUGAUAGCACCUCAGAGAUUUAUCCCUGCACAGAACACAUUGUCUAUACUGUGAUCUUCUGCACAUCCUGCUCAGCAGGAGUUUCGUCAACACUUUUGUACAUAGUUUUUUUCAUAGUUUUAUUUUUUAAAUGUGUAUCUAUGUAUAUUUAUCUUUUUGACUGUUGCAGUAUUUUACCUUUUUAUUGUUACUUCCUGUUAAUAUGUUUAUUGGAUACUGCACCAAACACCAAGCCAAAUAUCUUGUAAGUAAAAACCUACCUGCCAAUAAACCUUAUUUUCUGACUCUG